UCCUGGCUCAGGAUGAACGCUAGCGGCAGGCCUAAUACAUGCAAGUCGCACGAGAAGCUUCCUUCGGGAAGUAGAGAGUGGCGGACGGGUGCGUAACGCGUAUCCAACCUGCCCUUCAGCGGGGAAUAACAUUGGGAAACCGAUGCUAAUACCGCAUAUAUUGUAAGCUGGGCAUCCAGUUAACAAGAAAGACGCGAGUCACUGAAGGAUGGGGAUGCGUUUGAUUAGCUAGUUGGAGAGGUAACGGCUCCCCAAGGCAACGAUCAAUAGCUGGUCUGAGAGGAUGAUCAGCCACACUGGCACUGAGACACGGGCCAGACUCCUACGGGAGGCAGCAGUAGGGAAUAUUGGGCAAUGGGCGCAAGCCUGACCCAGCCAUGCCGCGUGCGGGAAGACGGUCCACAGGAUUGUAAACCGCUUUUCUACGGGAAUAAGGACUUGGUAUCCAGGUUCUGCAGGUACCGUAGGAAUAAGCACCGGCAAACUACGUGCCAGCAGCCGCGGUAAUACGUAGGGUGCAAGCGUUGUCCGGAUUCACUGGGUUUAAAGGGUACGCAGGCGGCUUGGCCAGUCGGCGAUGAAAUAUCGGAGCUUAACUCCGGUGCUGUUGCCGAUACUGCCAGGCUAGAGCGUGGAUGAGGUAGCUGGAAUGGACGGUGUAGCGGUGAAAUGCGUAGAGAUCGUCUGGAACACCAAUUGUGAAGACAGGCUACUGGACCACAGCUGACGCUGAGGUACGAAAGCGUGGGGAGCGAACAGGAUUAGAUACCCUGGUAGUCCACGCUGUAAACGAUGAUUACUCGCUUUGUAUUCACUUGAGGAUACGAGGCUGAGCGAAAGCGUUAAGUAAUCCACCUGGGGAGUACGCUCGCAAGGGUGAAACUCAAAGGAAUUGACGGGGGCCCGAACAAGUGGUGGAGCAUGUGGUUAACUUCGAUGAUACGCGAGGAACCUUACCUGGGCCUAAAUCCAUACGGCCGCCGGGUGAAAGGCCUGUUUCCUACGGGACUG
rnacentral:rRNA from 1 species